UACAGAGGAGCCAAGCGUUGUCCGGAUUGACUGGGCGUAAAGCGCACGCAGGCGGAUGCGCGCGUGGGGUGUGAAAUCUGGCCGCUUAACGGCCAGGCGCCAUUCCAUACGGCGCGUCUGGAGUGAUGCAGAGGUCGGUGGAAUUGCCGGUGUAGUGGUGAAAUGCGUAGAGAUCGGGAAGAACAUCGGUGGCGAAAGCGCUCUACUGGGCCAUAACUGACACUCAGGGACGAAAGCUAGGGGAGCGAAUGGG
rnacentral:rRNA from 1 species